rnacentral:rRNA from 1 species
GUGAGGAAUAUUGCGCAAUGGAGGCAACUCUGACGCAGCCAUGCCGCGUGCAGGAAGAAGGCGCUACGCGUUGUAAACUGCUUUUAACCGGGAAGAAACCCCAGGACGUGUCCUGGGUUGACGGUACCGGAGGAAUAAGCACCGGCUAACUUCGUGCCAGCAGCCGCGGUAAUACGAAGGGUGCAAGCGUUAUCCGGAUUCAUUGGGUUUAAAGGGUGCGUAGGCGGAGCGUUAAGUCAGUGGUGAAAUCCUGCAGCUUAACUGUAGACUUGCCAUUGAUACUGGCGCUCUUGAGUGCGCUUGAAGUGGGCGGAAUGUGCCGUGUAGCGGUGAAAUGCUUAGAUAUGGCACAGAACACCAAUUGCGAAGGCAGCUCACUAAGGCGAUACUGACGCUGAGGCACGAAAGCGUGGGGAUCGAACAGGAUUAGAUACCCGUGGUAGUCC